rnacentral:rRNA from 1 species
UACGAAGGGGGCUAGCGUUGCUCGGAAUCACUGGGCGUAAAGCGCACGUAGGCGGGUCUUUAAGGCGGAGGGGAAAUCCUGGAGCUCAACUCCAGAACUGCCUUCGAUACUGAGGAUCUCGAGUCCGGGAGAGGUGAGUGGAACUGCGAGUGUAGAGGUGAAAUUCGUAGAUAUUCGCAAGAACACCAGUGGCGAAGGCGGCUCACUGGCCCGGUACUGACGCUGAGGUGCGAAAGCGUGGGGAGCAAACAGG